rnacentral:lncRNA from 1 species
CCCGAAUAAAUAGGAAUUUUGAAAUUAAUUAAGCACAGGGGUAGGCGGAGUGUUACAAAUGAUGAAGUUAGAAUGACUAAUUCUUUAAGGAAUUUAAAUGUUGAAAAACUUCUAAACAAAGUAAAUACCAAAAUGAAAAACAAAAUCACACAUAAGGAACGAUCUAAGGGGAAAUGCUAACAAAAACUUAUUUAAAGAUUGAAGGUGUGCUCAUGGAUAUCCCAAAGAGCAAAUUAUAGGAGAUACCUCUUGUGGUUACUAGAGCCUAUUUAAGAAAUAAAUGCAACUAUAU